GACAGAGGGUGCAAACGUUGUUCGGAAUUACUGGGCGUAAAGCGCGCGUAGGCGGUCCUGUAUGUCGAUUGUGAAAGCCCCGGGCUCAACCUGGGAACAGCAGCCGAAACUGCAGGACUUGAAUGUUGGAGAGGGUGGGGGAAUACCUAGUGGAGAAGUGAAAUUCGUAGAGAUUAGGUGGAACACCAGUGGCGAAGGCGGCCGGGCUGGGGGUGACCUGACGCUGAGGCGCGAAAGCGUGGGGAGCAAACAGG
rnacentral:rRNA from 1 species